rnacentral:lncRNA from 1 species
GCCCAUCAACAUCUUGUCUUUAUCAUCAGAAAUGAAUAUUUUUUUUUGCUUAUUUCUUUCUGUGAGACAUCCAAUAAAAUAAUUUUUUUAUCCUGCAAGUACUGAUUUCAUAAGAUCUAAUCAGCAAGUCCUGAUGAUUCACCACUAUGACAAUAUCGAAUUAUUCUAUUAAAAUCUUCAAAUUCAUGAAACUAAAUUUGACUGACCAUUUUAGAUGAUUUGGGAAUAGGUAGCGUGUUCACUUGAGGGGAGG